rnacentral:rRNA from 1 species
GAUGAACGCUGACAGAAUGCUUAACACAUGCAAGUCAACUUGAACUUCGGUUUGGGUGGCGGACGGGUGAGUAACGCGUAAAGAACUUGCCUCACAGAUAGGGACAACAUUUGGAAACGAAUGCUAAUACCUGAUAUUAUGAUUAUAUGGCAUCGUAUAAUUAUGAAAGCUAUAUGCGCUGUGAGAGAGCUUUGCGUCCCAUUAGCUAGUUGGAGAGGUAACGGCUCACCAAGGCGAUGAUGGGUAGCCGGCCUGAGAGGGUGAUCGGCCACAAGGGGACUGGGACACGCCCUUUCCCCCUACGGGAGGAGGCGGGGGGAAAUAUUGGAAAAGGGCCAAAGAGUCUGAUCCAAAAUUUCUGUGGGAAAAAUAAAUUUUUUCGGAAUGAAAAGUGCUUUCGGUGGGGAAAAAAAAAAUGCCGGAACAAACGGAAGAAGGGACGGCAAAAUACGU